rnacentral:rRNA from 1 species
GUGGGGAAUUUUGGACAAUGGGCGCAAGCCUGAUCCAGCCAUGCCGCGUGAGUGAAGAAGGCCUUCGGGUUGUAAAGCUCUUUCGGCUGGGACGAAAAGGUCCGUGCUAACACCACGGAUCCAUGACGGUACCAGCAGAAGAAGCACCGGCUAACUACGUGCCAGCAGCCGCGGUAAUACGUAGGGUGCAGGCGUUAAUCGGAAUUACUGGGCGUAAAGCGUGCGCAGGCGGUUUGCUAAGACAGGUGUGAAAUCCCCGGGCUUAACCUGGGAACUGCGCUUGUAACUGGCAAGCUAGAGUGUGGCAGAGGGGGGUGGAAUUCCACGUGUAGCAGUGAAAUGCGUAGAGAUGUGGAGGAACACCGAUGGCGAAGGCAGCCCCCUGGGCUAACACUGACGCUCAUGCACGAAAGCGUGGGGAGCAAACAGGAUUAGAAACCCUGGUAGUCC